AAACAUGUUAGUCAUCAAUUUUUCUUUCACUUCUAUAUUCCAACUAAACUUAGGAACUUGAAAUUUUCUGCCUUGGGAAUUUAUUGAUACUGCAAUGCUAUGAAAGAUUACUCUAGUAGUAGUGAAUACUCUCCCCCAUCAUAGUGUGGUGAUAUCUAAAGGCAUAGUCCAACAUGUACUCUAGAUAUACCUGAUCGAAAUAAGGCUUCUGGACUUCACUUAAUUUUCAUGGGUAAUAUUAAAUUGAGAUGAACUUUAAUGAUUAAUUUGAGUGACAACCUUUAGUUUUAUUAGCUUUAAAUUAGUCUAUUUGAAGAUGUCCUUUAUCUCUAUGUGUUUACAUUUUUAAUCCCAUGACCCAUCUAUCUCUGUCUAUAUUCGUGCAUGUUUAUAAUCUCACGGGCUAUCUAUCUCUAUCUAUAUGCGUGUGUGUAUGUUAGAAAUAGAUGCAUAUUAUUG
rnacentral:lncRNA from 1 species